rnacentral:rRNA from 1 species
CCCGCACAAGCGGUGGAGCAUGUGGUUUAAUUCGAUGAUACGCGAGGAACCUUACCUGGGCUCAAAUGUAUGUUGACGUAUUCUGAAAGGGAUACUUCUUCGGACAAUAUACAAGGUGCUGCAUGGUUGUCGUCAGCUCGUGCCGUGAGGUGUCGGGUUAAGUCCCAUAACGAGCGCAACCCCUAUCAUUAGUUGCCAUCAGGUCAAGCUGGGGACUCUAAUGAAACUGCCUACGCAAGUAGUGAGGAAGGUGGGGAUGACGUCAAAUCAGCACGGCCCUUACGUCCAGGGCUACACACGUGCUACAAUGGCCGGUACAAAGGGCAGCUACCUGGUGACAGGAUGCUAAUCUCAAAAGCCGGUCUCAGUUCGGAUCGGAGUCUGCAACUCGACUGCAUGAAGUUGGAAUCGCUAGUAAUCGUAGAUCAGCACGCUACGGUGAAUACGUUCCCGGGCCUU